rnacentral:rRNA from 1 species
GUCUGUAUGAUAGUUUUAUAGAGUCUAGCCUGCCCAUUGGGGAACUGAAAGGCCGCGGUAUUAUGACCGUGCGAAGGUAGCAUAAUCAUUAGUCUUUUAAUUGGAGGCUGGAAUGAAUGGUUGGACGAGAAAUAAACUGUCUUUGUCCUAAAAAUUGAAUUUAACUUUUAAGUGAGAGGGCUUAAAUGUAUUAAAGGGACGAUAAGACCCUGUAAAGUUUAUACAUUAAGUUAAUUAAAAAUAAUUAAGGAGAUUAAAAUUUAUUAUUGGGUAGAUGUUUAGUUGGGGCGACUAGGAUAUAAUUUAAUUAUAACUGUCUUAGAUUAAGGUCAAAGAUAUUUGAGUUUGUGAUCCUUUCUUAGGAUUCAAGAACAAGUUACUUCAGGGAUAACAGCGUAAUUUUUUUUGAGAGUUCUUAUCGACAAAAGAGUUUGCGACCUCGAUGUUGAAUUAAAAGUUUCUCUGAAGUGUAGCAAUUUCAGGAGAAGGUCUGUUCGACCUUUAAAUUUUUACAUGAUUUGAGUUCAGACCGGCGAGAGC